rnacentral:rRNA from 1 species
UACGUAGGGGGCAAGCGUUGUCCGGAAUUAUUGGGCGUAAAGAGCGCGUAGGCGGUCCGAUAAGUCGGCUGUGAAAGUCAGGGGCUCAACCCUUGAAAGCCGGCCGAUACUGUCGGACUAGAGUCCGGAAGAGGCAAGUGGAAUUCCCGGUGUGCGGUGAAAUGCGUAGAGAUCGGGAGGAACACCAGAGGCGAAGGCGGCUUGCUGGACAGAUACUGGACACUGAGGAGCGAAAGCGUGGGGAGCGAACAGG